AUACACCCAACUUGUCGAGCGGAACGGCAGUAUUGAAGCUUCGGUGGAUUUACUGGACGUCGAGCGGCGGACGGGUGAGUAACGGCUGGGAACCUGCCCUGACGAGGGGGAUAACCGUUGGAAACGACGGCUAAUACCGCAUAAUGUCUACGGACCAAAGGUGGCCUCUACAUGUAAGCUAUCGCGUCGGGAUGGGCCCAGUUAGGAUUAGCUAGUUGGUAAGGUAAUGGCUUACCAAGGCGACGAUCCUUAGCUGGUUUGAGAGGAUGAUCAGCCACACUGGGACUGAGACACGGCCCAGACUCCUACGGGAGGCAGCAGUGGGGAAUAUUGCACAAUGGGGGAGACCCUGAUGCAGCCAUGCCGCGUGUGUGAAGAAGGCCUUCGGGUUGUAAAGCACUUUCAGCAGUGAGGAAGGUAGUGUACUUAAUACGUGCAUUGCUUGACGUUAGCUGCAGAAGAAGCACCGGCUAACUCCGUGCCAGCAGCCGCGGUAAUACGGAGGGUGCGAGCGUUAAUCGGAAUUACUGGGCGUAAAGCGCAUGCAGGCGGUUUGUUAAGUCAGAUGUGAAAGCCCGGGGCUCAACCUCGGAACCGCAUUUGAAACUGGCAGGCUAGAGUCUUGUAGAGGGGGGUAGAAUUUCAGGUGUAGCGGUGAAAUGCGUAGAGAUCUGAAGGAAUACCAGUGGCGAAGGCGGCCCCCUGGACAAAGACUGACGCUCAGAUGCGAAAGCGUGGGUAGCAAACAGGAUUAGAUACCCUGGUAGUCCACGCCGUAAACGAUGUCUACUUGGAGGCUG
rnacentral:rRNA from 1 species